GGACCCGCACAAGCGGUGGAUCAUGUUCUUUAAUUCGAUGCUAAACGAUAAACCUUACCAGGGCUUGACAUCUAGGGAAGGACUACGAAAGUAGUUUGUGCCUUUUUGGAACCCUAAGACAGGUGAUGCAUGGCCGUCGUCAGCUCGUGUCGUGAGAUGUUAGGUUAAGUCCUUCAACGAGCGCAACCCUUGUGAAUAGUUGUAUUUUUCUAUUCAGACUGCCCCGGUAACGGGGAGGAAGGAGGGGAUGAUGUCAGGUCAGUAUUUCCCUUACGUCCUGGGCUAGAAACGUGAUACAAUGGCGAGCAACAAUGCGUGGCGAAGUCGUGAGAUGAAGCUAACCGCAUAAAACUCGUCCCAGUCCGGAUUGGAGGCUGAAACUCGCCUCCAUGAAGUCGGAAUCGCUAGUAAUCGCAGAUCAGCAUGUUG
rnacentral:rRNA from 1 species